CAGCCGCCGCGGUAAUACGUAGGGUGCAAGCGUUAAUCGGAAUUACUGGGCGUAAAGCGUGCGCAGGCGGUUAUGCAAGACAGAGGUGAAGUCCCCGGGCUCAACCUGGGAACUGCCUUUGUGACUGCAUGGCUAGAGUACGGUAGAGGGGGAUGGAAUUCCGCGUGUAGCAGUGAAAUGCGUAGAUAUGCGGAGGAACACCGAUGGCGAAGGCAAUCCCCUGGACCUGUACUGACGCUCAUGCACGAAAGCGUGGGGAGCAAACAGGAUUAGAUACCCUGGUAGUCCACGCCCUAAACGAUGUCAACUGGUUGUUGGGAGGGUUUCUUCUCAGUAACGUAGCUAACGCGUGAAGUUGACCGCCUGGGGAGUACGGCCGCAAGGUUGAAACUUAAAGGAAUUGGCGG
rnacentral:rRNA from 1 species